GGCCCCUUCGUCUAACGGCUAGGACACCACCCUUUCAAGGUGAAAACACGGGUUCGAUUCCCGUAGGGGCCACCA
rnacentral:tRNA from 1 species